rnacentral:rRNA from 1 species
UACGUAGGGUCCGAGCGUUGUCCGGAAUUACUGGGCGUAAAGAGCUCGUAGGUGGUUUGUCGCGUUGUUCGUGAAAACUCACAGCUCAACUGUGGGCGUGCGGGCGAUACGGGCAGACUAGAGUACUGUAGGGGAGACUGGAAUUCCUGGUGUAGCGGUGGAAUGCGCAGAUAUCAGGAGGAACACCGAUGGCGAAAGGCAGGUCUCUGGGCAGUUACUGACGCUGAGGAAGCGAAAGCAUGGGGAGCAAACAGG